UACGUAGGGACCAAGCGUUGUUCGGAUUUACUGGGCGUAAAGGGCGCGUAGGCGGCGUGACAAGUCACUUGUGAAAUCUCUGGGCUUAACCCAGAACGGCCAAGUGAAACUGUUGUGCUAGAGUGCAGAAGGGGCAAUCGGAAUUCUCGGUGUAGCGGUGAAAUGCGUAGAUAUCGAGAGGAACACCAGAGGUGAAGACGGGUUGCUGGGCUGACACUGACGCUGAGGCGCGAAAGCGUGGGGAGCGAACAGG
rnacentral:rRNA from 1 species